UACGUAGGGUGCGAGCGUUGUCCGGAAUUAUUGGGCGUAAAGAGCUCGUAGGCGGUCUGUCGCGUCGGUCGUGAAAACUUGGGGCUUAACCCUGAGCUUGCGGUCGAUACGGGCAUGACUGGAGUUCGGCAGGGGAGACUGGAAUUCCUGGUGUAGCGGUGAAAUGCGCAGAUAUCAGGAGGAACACCGGUGGCGAAGGCGGAUCUCUGGGCCUUACCUGACGCUCAGGUGCGAAAGCUAGGGGAGCGAACAGG
rnacentral:rRNA from 1 species